rnacentral:tRNA from 1 species
GUAAAUAGGUAAGUCUUCCGCCCACAAGUUUCGGCCUUGUAUUUGAGGUGUACCUCACUUAUC